UACAGAGGUGGCAAGCGUUGUUCGGAAUUACUGGGCGUAAAGGGCGCGUAGGCGGUCCGAUAAGUCCUGUGUGAAAUCCCUCGGCUCAACUGAGGAACUGCACGGGAGACUGCCGGGCUUGAGUUCGGGAGAGGGAAGCGGAAUUCCGGGUGUAGCGGUGAAAUGCGUAGAUAUCAGGAGGAACACCUGUGGUGUAGACGGCUUACUGGACCACUACUGACGCUGAGGCACGAAAGCGUGGGGAGCAAACAGG
rnacentral:rRNA from 1 species